UUUUCUGCAUGGAGGAAUUCAUAUGCACUUCUAUGUCAGACACCAUUUUGUCAGACUGCCCUUUUGCUGCCAUCUGUCACACAGCAACAGGAUGUAAUGUAAUAAUUAAUCUAUGUAACUGUCACCCACAUAUGAAAUUAUAACCAUAUAUAGCCCAUUAUAACUGUGUAGCUAAAUAUGCCAAUACAUACACAUACACUUGAUUAUUUUUGUAUAAACUCUACUAUUAGCCUAAUUAACUGCUCUAACCUGAUAAAUACAGAAGUGUUUCCAGAGUCUUCAGGUGGUUGCAGGUCUGGCUUGAACUUUUUAGAAGCUAACUUCUUCCUUUUCAAAGCUCUUGGGUGUUAUGUUGAGUCUGUGCAGACCUGACUGUAGAGCCAGUGUUUUCCACUGGCUCCUUUUCUUCUCAGAAUGCUCAGGGAUUAUGGUAACUUCCACAUCUGAACAAGCAAAGCAUUACUUAAUAAAAACCCACACUUCACUGUUUGUUCACCCCUCUGCAUUACAGCCAGAAAAAGGAAUCUUCUCAUGCCUGCAGAUGGACUUAGUAGCAGAGCAUUGAACAGUUGCCAGAUCUUUUGAGUCACAACCCAACUAAAUUGCUACUUUGGCAAUUUAGCUCAAUGCAAAAACCAUUCAGCACUGCUGAUAAGUUUGUUGAAGAACGUUUGGAAGCAAAAGGUAAUAUUUGCAAAAAUUAAGUGUAUUUCCAAGGUUACAUUCCCCACCACAUCAGCAGGAAAGGCAAAGCAAGCAUGUUACUGUUAUCUCUUUAAGAAGCCAGAUACCCCACACCUCCCUAGCUUCUGAUAGCAGGUCAUAACCAGUGGUUCCUGGGUGCUAUAUCCCAGCAAUAGCACACCACAUGCACCACAGCAUCUUGGAGGCACUGAGAUACAGUGAAGUUAGCUGCAGCACAUGACAGAGAGACAACUCUAGAAGUAGCGCCAGGGAGAUCUCAUUGCAGCCUUCCAGUAUUUAAAGGGAGCUUACAGACAGGAGGGAGAGUGGCUUUUUCCGUGGUCUGGUAGCGAUAGGACAAGCAGGAAUUACUCUAAACUAAAAGAGGGGAGUUUAGUUUAGAGUAAACUCAGUUUAGCUGUUAAGAAGAGAUUCUUUACUCAGAGGUGGUGCGAUACUGGAACAGGGUGCCCAGAGAAGCUGUGGAUGCCCCAUCACUGGAAGCACUCCAGAACAGACUGGAUGGGGCCCUGGGCCUGUGUCAGUGGGUAGACACCCCGAGCAUGGCAGGAUGCUGGACCUGGGUGUUCUUCUGUGUUCGUUCCAACCUAAGCUAUUCUGUGAUUCCAUGAUUCUUGGAUUCUAUGGACAGAGCAAAGAAUAGUUAGGCUCGGAAGAAAGAGAAGCUAAUAGCAGUUACCUACCUUCAUCCAUCAUAUACGAAGAAUUCUUGGUUCCAGACUGAAAUUAUACUGAACAGCAAAUUAAAAGUCUUGUUGCUGUUGAUGAUAGGAUUUACAUACAGCAGAGAUGUGCUACGUGAGUUACAAGGACAAAGGAAACACACCUAGAGCAGAGCAGUGUUGAGAUCUGCAAGCAUGCCAUGGACCACAAGUUCCGCAAGGUUCCACAAGUCACACCUUCAGUGAGGCAGUAGUGGUCCAGCAGGCCCAGAGCAGAUGCUCUGGCUUGUGGGGUCUAUUUCCAUCAGACAAGGAAAAAGUCUGCCAGGAUUGCUGUGAUCUCGCUAACUACUGAAAAAUCAGAUGGGGCAGAAAGCAGAACUUUUUAAAAUACUUCAAACAGGAACUGACCUUAUUCCUAUUGGGCUUGCCCCAACUGUUCUGUAGUGCCAUUAAGGUGGGGUUCUCCCAGAACAGCAGUUCUCUUUCCAUGCAAUAUCUGCAGGUAAAUUAGGCAAUGUGUAAGGUAGUUCCUGAAUUCCUUGGUUGUAGUAUAAGAACAACAUCAUUUCACAGUUUUUUUUUUGCAGUCUGCCAAAGCAUUUUAGCCCUAUGGAUAAAGGUACUUUGCUCUAGCCCAAACUCAGACUUCUCGAAGUUCAAGGAGACUAUACUGGUUCUACUAAUGACAAAGUGAAGUAGAGAUUUUUCAAUUGCACAUGUAAACAAUUAACAAGGUUUCUAAUAAAGGUUCAGUGGGAGUCAUGUGGUUGUUUUAGAGUCACAUCUGAAUUAUGUCUUUGUGUAACGUAAUCUGUCAAGUGCCCUUGGGCAGGAAGCCAUUGUAAGCAAGCUGACUAGUUGUUUACCUUGUUCCUUUAUCAAAAUGCCUUACCUAAGUAACCAAUUCUUCAUUUACCUGCAAGAUCUGUAAAGAAAUACAAAAUUGGCUACAGGAAUAAAUAGACUUGUUAAUCAUCCUGGUGGAAUGAAUAAAUUCCCAGUUAAUAACUUUCCCAAUUAAAUCAGCCUAUGUGUCUGCUUCCAGACUAUCCAUAAGCAGACCACAAUUACCUCUCAUUUACCCUUUAUUUGCAUUUUCCCACUGAGUGUGUUGCAAUGUUCUGUAUAUAUACCUGCUCCCCUGGCACCAUCCUGCAAACAGCACUCCUGUAAGUACUUCUUUCUCCUGAAGUCUCUCCCCCUCUCCUGUCAGCAGCACUCCCCUUUGCACCCUGAAGUCCUUCAGUCUCCCUUUCUGUGCUACUUCAGCUAUUUUAAAAGGAGCUUACAGAAGCGAGCUGCUGCUGGCUGCAGGGCAUUUUUCCCUCCUCUGACUCUCUGGUCCAUAGUGAGAGCACAGAAGAGUCUGAAGUAGCUCUGAAGCAGCUGCAAUGAAGAAUUAUAGCACUGUAGAAAGUUUCUGCACAGGCUUCUUGCUCAAGGAAACUUAUCUAUUAGUGAGCUCUGUUCCAGCAGGUGAGGCCCUAGUAGUCAGCAUCCCCCUUUUCCUUCUGUAUAUACUCAGAUGCUUGUCUGGAGGAUACACCUCAUUUAGAAGGAUGCCAUUUGAAUUUUCCUGACUGAUUUGCCCUACAAUAUGAUAUCCACAGGCAAAUACCCAGUCCCAGACAGACCUCUACAACUGUCAGUCUGUGCAGCUGUGUCCCCUCAUGCACAUAGAUCUGCAGGGCCACCACCAUGUUAUAUGGCAGCAAAUACUUCUGGAAGCAUUUUUCCUUCAUUUUCCCCAAGUUUUAGUUGAAUCCAUUAAAAAUUUUCCAUCUGCAUGUUACAGAUUGCUCUGGAAUUUUCUGUCAUCACUCCUGUCAUCAACUCAAAACAUUUGGCUGAGUGUGUGUGUGUGAACAUGACAUUACUACUUUGUAUCAUCUCUCUGUCAAAGAAGAGGGGAAGACAUUGAGCCAUUGACCACCACUCUCUGGACUCAGUCCUGCAGCCAGUUCUUCUUCCACUGAACAGCCCACAGAUCAUAUCCAUUUAUUUCCAAAUUGGAGAUGAUUUCAGUGGCUCUUCUCUUGUCCACUAAUGCAGUGACACCAUCACAGAAGGCCACUAAAUUGGUUAAGCAAGAUUUGCCCUUGGUGAAACCAUGAUGGUUCUCCAGCAUCACCUUGCUGUCUUCCAUGUGCAUUAGCAUAGUGUCCAGAAGUUUCUGAGGGGUAUCACUGAGGGCAAUAGUUUGUUGCCAUGGUGCUCCAAGGCCCCAGAAAACCAGAGACUCUUCCAUGCAAGGAACCAUGCAAACCUGGAGCAUGAAAUAUUUCCAUAAUGUAAAGCAGAAAAAAACACAGGCUACAAAUGGAAACCUGAAGCACCCUAAAUGUCCAGCCAAAGCCAUAAUCUUGUUAUUCUGUGGAUAGUUGAAGAAGUGGAUACCCAGCAUUCCUCUGUGUGCACAGAAAAGACUGAUAUUUGUAAUAUUGUGGCAGGCAUUAAAUCAAAGCAAAUAAGGUAAGAACCUUACUUAUCAAUACACCACAGUAAACAAUUAUUUGUUUUCUUAUAAAAAAUUCUAACAAGUGCUAUAUAUGUGUGUGUGUUUAUAUGUAUGGUUAUUUAUUUAGUGUACCGGGGCUCUUAGAAUCAUUUGCUGGUCUUUAUAUACUUGCCAAUAAGAAGAGAAGCACAGAGACAUUUAGGGAAUUUUAUACUACAGGAAGAAUGAUUGAAGGGAUGUAAAUCCAUUUUAUGAUAUAGUACUAUUACUUUUGUUGCCCUAAAACUAAGCAGAGCAACGUACCUUUUCCAUAUCAACCACUUCAUCCUUCUUCAUCCUACCACAAAUGCCUUCACCAUUGCACAGAUGAAGUGCAAACUUCAGGAAUACCACGCUCCUCUUUGGACCAUAGCACCUGAAAGUUGAUAAGGAAUUAUAGACAAACGCCAACCAGGACUGCUAUCUCUGGAGAGCUAUUCUGAAACCAUUCUUGUAGAAAGAAAAAUCAGGCUAAAUCACAAAACAAGGAAAACAGAAGAGAAGGCAUGGAAAAGAUAAGCAGAAUCAAACUUCCUCCAGAUGUUCUCAAAUCCUUCCUGGUAGAUGUGUUGAAUGAAAGAUGUCUCUGUUCUCCCUUUGCAGCAGUUGAAUUAAUUCCUACACUCCAGACUAUCAAGACCUCCUCAUUCAUUACAUAGCCCUCCCAGUUCUUUCUGGAAAUCAGCUUUGCACUGUUAGGGACUAUUAAGUAAAUACAACAGGCAUCCCUGGCAUCACAGAAGCCCACUCCAUAUAGCAGCAACCACCCAGAAAGCAAACCAGAGGUGUUUUUCCUUCUCCCAGACUUCAGUACAUUAACAGAGAACAGCAUCAUAGAAGUGAUGAAAGAAAGUAGAGUCACCACACUUAAAUCAAACCAUAGCUGAUGAAAAAUACCUACAAGCACCAUUACUGACAGAAUUUGUCAACACUGCCAUGAGGUAGUUCUCAACAGAAGCUUGGCACCUCCUGGAAGUACUUUUUGGGCCUGACUGAUUCUAUAAAUUAUGCUUGGAUCCAAAGCACUUCUGAGUAACGUGAUUAUGAAGUAACCAGAGAAACACUUUAUUCAAAAUCUUUUGACAACUAGACAGGCCCCUGAGGAGCAGUUCAGGAGCUGUUCAAAGGGUGGAUGAUGAAACUUUUGAAAGAACUAAUGAGAAAUGGGUGAUCUGAGCAAAGGCAAAGUGGAAGUAGUAGAGAAUACCUAAGUAACAAACACAUAGAAAACAACCACACCACCUGCCUGUUCAUCAACAGAGUUUGCUCCAGCAGCAUCAGAAUAGAUUACAAUUCAGCAGGAUGUCUGGUUCCUCAAGGCCAUUUUGCUUGCUCAAAUGUUGAGCAUUAGAUAAAGAGUAGGUUCAGCCAAAGAGCUGCGAGCGCUGAGUGCUUAGCUUCUAAUGGCAGCUCCAAAAUGCAUUUAACACCCCAUGUCUGGAAGCAGGCAAAGGAAAAUGAGCCUCCUAGAUGAACAGAAAUAUUCCUACUGCAGCAUAGCUGACACUUUUCUUCCAAUGGUGCCAACUGUUCCUUGCUGUCUCACAGUGCAGUGGAUGUUCCAAAGGGUGGUAAAGAAAAUUGUUCAGGGAAGUACAGAUGACUUCAUCAUUAUACAUAUGUCUAAUGUAGAUGAUUUCAUCCCCCAAAAUAACCAGCCAUAGCAAAUAUUUUUAGCAAGUAAGGAAUGUUCCUGAAUACGGUGAUUGCAAGACAAAUGGCAUUAUAUUUAACAUAUGGGUUAUGUCAUUUCUGCUUCCUUAAAAUCCUUUCUCUUACAGCACAAAGUCUUACACAGGAGAACAGGCAAGGAUAAGAACUGUUCUUCUAGGAAAGUUAUGCUUUCUUGGGAUGACUACACUGAUGGUACAAAGAUAUGACAUUGCACUCCUUUUACUAACUUGGGAUCACAUCUGAUUUUCUCUUUCUUAAGUUGCAGAAAUAAAAUAAGUCUUUCAGAACACGUGUAUGUGUGAAAAAAAGGUAUUACUUGUUAUCAAAUGGUGUUCGUGUUUUCAGAAUAAGAAAUGAAAACAAAACACGAAGAGGUCAGCGUGCACAAAGUGGAAAGAUCCUUUCCCCUUACUUCUUGUGCCAGUGAAUCUUCAGAAUAUGACCUCUCAUCAUCAAAGUGGUCCCAACAGCUGCUGUUAUGACCUCUUCUGCAAGGUGACUCCAUCCUCUGGAGCAUUUAAUAUACCCUGGCAUGAAGACCAGCUUGUGAAUUCUUUCUGGAAGUCUCAUCCUCUUGUUCCUUGCCUACUUCUUAUCUGAACAGCUAAAUGUGCAGAGGUUUCCACAGCACCCAGGGUAUUGUCAGGUUAUUAUUACUUAUUACAUAAAGCCAGCUUCUGAGGUCAUUAUUCUGCUUCAGGAUCUGUUCCCACUGUGUACAUGGUAGCAGUUCUAAUCUUCUCUUAGGAGUGUUUUUGGGAACUACAAUGAGCUUUGAAGACUUAAGCCUCUAAAGAACACUGCCCACUUUAUUCAAGGAGAUAACAGAGAAGAGGAAGUUAAAACGAUAAAAUAAAAUAAAAUAAAAUAAAAUAAAAUAAAAUAAAAUAAAAUAAAAUAAAAUAAAAUAAAAUAAAAUAAAAUAAAAUAAAGAAGCAUGGGUCCCAGAAGUAGCAAGGAGCCUACUAUGAAUCCUUCACCAUCAUGGGUUUAAAUCAUUUCAACUUUCCACUGAACUCACAACUCUGGUAAUGUUGUUUUUUUAAUGGAAUGAAUUAUCUGAAAUGUUUUCUACAGUAGAUUUCCUAGUUUAAAUAUUUAAAAAUCGAUUAAGCUUCUUUCUGCUUGAAGAACUGGAUCCCUGCAUUAUUAAAAACAUUCCUUACACUCCUUGUCUUCACUUCCUUAUUUAGGUCAUUGGUUUGGGGUUCUUUUUUAUCUCCCUCAGCCUUCUUUGUUUUAAAUCUGACUCAAACUGAGCACUUAGGGAUGAAAGAUGACAGCAGAUUCUAUGCAGUCUCUCAGAUUUUAUCAAAAAAUUUGGUUAGACAAAUCUUGGUCUUCACGAGGAGAGCACGCCCCAUCAUGCUGAUUUAUGGCAGGUUCUGUGGGCAGUCAGAAGCACACAGAGAAAGAGUAAGAGCUGAUCGGUGCAUUUAUUCUUUACAACCCCUAAAAAAUAUUGUAUUUAAAAUAAGAAAUCUACCUACAGAGCAUACGGUAAAAAUCCUUCGUGACAGGAAGAAGGGAGAAAAAUGUUGGAGUUUCAGAAAGGCACAGAGGAUCACAGUGAUGAUGCCAAUACCAAGAAUGGAGACUGGAACAAUCAUUUCAUGAUGAUAAUUCACACACAGUUAGCCUCUUAAAAGGGCCUUCUUAAUGGUUGAUAAACACCAGUUACUAGCAGCCUUACAAUCUACCCAGUGCUGGAGCAACAAGAAGCUACUGUUGAAGAAGCUGUACGUUUUCUUCAUCACAAGGAACUGUCAUCUGAUGGCUCGAGCCAGGAAGAUGAAUCAGAUGUUCCUGCAGUCUGUUUCUGUCUUUGCGUGACUGAGGGAAAACCACUCAGCCUCCCUGUGAUGUGAUUUUCUCAGCCGUGGAAAAGGCAGAACUCUGUGUGGAACCUGUUUGUGUGGAGGGACAGACAGUGGCAAUGGCACAUUUUGCAAAGUGCCAAGUAGCAGAAUGGAGAGCUGCUUUCUUCAGUGCAUUUCUGUAAAGAUUCAGUCUGUUGCCUUAUCACUAGCAACUUUAUCUGCCAAACUCUGAAAUCAAUCACAUAAAGCCCACUGUGACCAUAAGCAUGUCUUUAUGAAGAUAAGCUUGGGGAAUGCUUCCAAAGGUAAGAGAAAGAAACUCCACCUUCAAUUGCAUGUCCUAGUUUUAUCUUUUUUGUCUCUUACUAGCAAUUUUAAAUUGGGAUUUUUUUCUAGAGAAAGGUAAAAGGUUCUUCCCUGCUAGGCUGCAUAUGCUGUAGCCUAUAUGGAUGCACUGACCUCUACACCCCUCCUUUAGUAGUGCAACUACAAGUAUCUGUGGCUCACUGUUUAGAAAUGGCUAUGAAAUUAAAAGCUGGGGCUGGAUGCUAGGAGGUUUUUUUGUUUGUAUUUGUGAUGGGCAAUUAUACUCACAGUUGUGUACGGCACAUCCAACCUGCAGGCCACAUGCAACCCAGCCCCUGCCCCACACCAUCAUGGCUAUAGCUCUGCCCUGCCAAGCAGCCCAGCCUGGCCCCAUUGCUCACAACAGCCAAACAGCAGCGCUUGAUCAGCACUGCCUGGGCUCAAAUCAAAGCAUGUGAAAGGCACGGUGCAGUGCCAGCUCAAGUUAUGGCAGAUUAUUCCACACACUGUGACACACUGAGCAGCAAAUAAUGUGCAGCCUUGGUUUCCAUUCUGAUAAAGGAAUUUGAGAAUAGGUUUCAAGAUUGAAAAAUAAAUAAAUAAAAA